AGAGUUUGAUCCUGGCUCAGGACGAACGCUGGCGGCGUGCCUAAUACAUGCAAGUAGAACGCUGAAGAGAGGAGCUUGCUCUUCUUGGAUGAGUUGCGAACGGGUGAGUAACGCGUAGGUAACCUGCCUUGUAGCGGGGGAUAACUAUUGGAAACGAUAGCUAAUACCGCAUAACAAUGGAUGACACAUGUCAUUUAUUUGAAAGGGGCAAUUGCUCCACUACAAGAUGGACCUGCGUUGUAUUAGCUAGUAGGUGAGGUAACGGCUCACCUAAGCGACGAUACAUAGCCGACCUGAGAGGGUGAUCGGCCACACUGGGACUGAGACACGGCCCAGACUCCUACGGGAGGCAGCAGUAGGGAAUCUUCGGCAAUGGGGGCAACCCUGACCGAGCAACGCCGCGUGAGUGAAGAAGGUUUUCGGAUCGUAAAGCUCUGUUGUAAGUCAAGAACGAGUGUGAGAGUGGAAAGUUCACACUGUGACGGUAGCUUACCAGAAAGGGACG
rnacentral:rRNA from 1 species